rnacentral:rRNA from 1 species
UACAUGGGGUGCAACCGUUGCUCGGAAUUAUUGGGCGUAAAGCGCGCGUAGGCGGUUACUCAAGUCGGAUGUGAAAGCCCUCGGCUUAACUGAGGAAGUGCACCCGAAACUGAGUAGCUAGAGUACUAAAGAGGGUCGCGGAAUUCCCGGUGUAGAGGUGAAAUUCGUAGAUAUCGGGAGGAACACCGGUGGCGAAGGCGGCGACCUGGGUAGAUACUGACGCUGAGGCGCGAAAGCUAGGGGAGCAAACGGG